rnacentral:rRNA from 1 species
AGCGAACGCUGGCGGCAGGCCUAACACAUGCAAGUCGAACGAACUCUUCGGAGUUAGUGGCGGACGGGUGAGUAACACGUGGGAACGUGCCUUUUGGUUCGGAAUAACUCAGGGAAACUUGUGCUAAUACCGAAUGUGCCCUUCGGGGGAAAGAUUUAUCGCCAUUAGAGCGGCCCGCGUCUGAUUAGCUAGUUGGUGAGGUAACGGCUCACCAAGGCGACGAUCAGUAGCUGGUCUGAGAGGAUGACCAGCCACACUGGGACUGAGACACGGCCCAGACUCCUACGGGAGGCAGCAGUGGGGAAUCUUGCGCAAUGGGCGAAAGCCUGACGCAGCCAUGCCGCGUGAAUGAUGAAGGUCUUAGGAUUGUAAAAUUCUUUCACCGGGGACGAUAAUGACGGUACCCGGAGAAGAAGCCCCGGCUAACUACGUG